rfam:Armatimonadetes bacterium RBG_16_67_12 RBG_16_scaffold_15469, whole genome shotgun sequence.
CUCCGAACGGGCAAACCCGGAGCGAUCCGGGGACGCAAAGCCACAGGGCCACAGAACGCAAGGUGGCCGGCUGGGCUGCCGAAG